rnacentral:rRNA from 1 species
UACAGAGACUGCAAGCGUUAUUCGGAUUCACUGGGCGUAAAGGGUGCGCAGGCGGCCAAGUGUGUUAGGCGUGAAAGCCCGGAGCUCAACUCCGGAAUUGCACCUAAAACUACAUGGCUAGAGCAUUGGAGAGGGAAGCGGAAUUCACGGUGUAGCAGUGAAAUGCGUAGAGAUCGGGAGGAACACCCGUGGCGAAGGCGGCCAACUGGGCCGGACCUGACGCUGGAGGCGCGAAGGCGUGGGGAGCGAACGGG